GAUUAGGAAUGACUAAAAGCUUUUGCUUCUUUCUCCUCGUCAAAGACGUGCUUCUUCAGAGCAGAAGAUCUAACCUGAAGAGCAGGCACAAAGCUCCAACAAACUUCCUGAAGAAGAAAGGGAGAGGGAAAGCUCCAGUGAAACGAGGAAUCCAUACAGCUGUACAAUGAAGAUGAUUAGAACUGCUAGAAAUGAAGGCCUCCUGGGAAAAAAAAUAUCAAUAGCAUAGUUUAACUACAUGAACCAUAAUUGCAUUAUUAGCUCUGCUGCGUGCUACCACAGGAAAGCUAAUGACAUGAUUCUGAAGAAGCUUUAUAGAUUAUGGAAAACUGGAUAACCUCUUGUGCUCCCAUUGACAACACAACUCAUUUGAGAUCCCUGCCAUCAUGGGGAGGAAAACUGCCUCAUUUCUCACAAGCCUUCUGAAUGUGUCUUUUUGUGGAAUUUAAAUAUUAACUGUGCAUACGCCAAUGGAUGAGUAGCUGGAAUAACAAAUAACCAUUUGUUUAACCUUAGCCGUGGCAAAUUUAGAAGUGAAUUGGGGUGUCAGUCCCCGUCCAACAGAUACGCUGGUGCUGCAGGAGAAGAGAGGAAGAGGAGGCACUCCCCACUCCAGCACGCAGUGGCACUGAGUGGAAGACAGGGGGAUUCAUACCAUAAACUGUCAGUGAAGUGAUUUUAUUGAGUUCUAAAUACACUUUCUGUUAAAUCAGCCUGCCUACAGUUCACUACCUGGGUUCCAGCUUAAAAGCAGAGGACCAAAAUCAGUUUUUUGCAUUUUGACAACGCGCCAAAUGCAGCAAGUCACUCUACUUUGUCCCUGCAUUUUCCUCCCCCACCCUAUCCACCCGUUGCAAAGACAAUUACCUGGAAAAGCCUCAACUUUUCCAGUAGUUACUGCAAGAGAGGAAGGGUGUUACCAAGUCUGAAAACACAAAAUGAUGCAAGACAAACCUAAAACGCUGGACCUAGGAGACGCAUCUUUGCAGUCACAUCACUACCAUACUUGAAUAAUUAACUCACAGUAUGCCCUUCAGCCCCCUGAUGACCUGCAGCAGACAGUGUAUGUUUGUUCAUGCUUUAUCAUGGCACCCAUGGGUGUGCACUGAUUGCUGCUGGUUCACCACCAUACAAGGAUCAGUGACUUUCUUUUCCCCCCACGGCUCAGAGGUGGGCAGCAGCCAUUCCAUCCACUCCAGUCUUGGGUCACCUGGCUGGCUCUGCUUGUCAUGGUCACGGUUCCCACUCAGGCUGCUGUCACACAGGUCAGAACACCUUGCCAUGCAGAUCACAGCAAGUCUGAUGGGUCUGCUCCCUCUUCCAGGUACGACGUUGCCUUUGCUCUCACUGAGAUCAUGGAAUCCAAGAGGAACUGAUAGGGCAAGCAGGAAGACUUGCAGUUAGACUGGAUUUAGGGAAGAAGGAUAAAAACUCUGCAUAGAAAACAGCUAAUUUAAGACAGAACAUCUUGUCUGUGUGUAGACGUUAUAUUCUGCAUAACUUACUGCUGAAGCUGCAAAACGAUUAAUGGUAUACCCACUUCUGCUUGAAAGGGCUGUCUUGUUGAAGGAAACGCUAACUUGCUAAAUGAGAUCUUCUAAAAAACAUUUACAGAGAUGCAUGGUUGUGACAUGUACAAGAUAUGGUGCAUAAGAAGGUCUUAUUGCAGAAGCUGUUGGAAAGCAGUGCUGUAUGAAUAUCUGGAGUUUUUUAACUGAGUAUUGAGGAAACGUACUUCGUUGGUGGGUGGUUUUUUUUUUUUCAUGUUUAUAGUUUCUACUGUCAAAUUCUGCUGGCUUUACUUAUGCGUGGUAAAAUGUUGCCAUCAAGUGGCCAUUUACUCAAUUACAGAGCACCCUCCCCCUGGGGCAGGCGUUCAGCUUUCCUCCAUCAGACCCCUGUCCGGCACCUAAAUGUAUUGCCCAGCUGCUGCUGGCUGUGCUACCACUUACAGACACUUUUGAUCCCAACUACUUUCUGUCUCCAAAAAGAAGGAGGAGAAUCAGAGCUCCUAAAUUAGCAGCAUCUAACCUCUUUAUUAGGAAAACCUAGCCAGCUGUUUUUCCUCUGCAGCUGAGGAACAGAACACAUAACUCUGAUCCAGGAAAGUAUGUAGGGAAGGGUUCCUCUUACUGCUGUUGUACAUACUGCUUUGUAAACCAUAGGGGGCAUUAUGUUACCAUGGUUUCUUCUUCUAAUUUAUCAGUUUGGGAUGAUGCUCUGUUAUCAUGAGAUUCAUCAUUCUAAAUGCCCUAUAUUUAUUCAAGCUCAAGAAAUAAAUUCAGAAAAUAA